ACGAUGACGGUGGUGCUUGCACCGCCUGAUUAGUGGCGAACGGGUGAGUAACACGUGAGUAACCUGCCCCUCACUUCGGGAUAACCUCGGGAAAUCGUGGCUAAUACCGGAUACGAACACUCAUCGCAUGGUGGGUGUUGGAAAGAUUUAUCGGUGGGGGAUGGACUCGCGGCCUAUCAGUUUGUUGGUGAGGUAAUGGCUCACCAAGGCGAUGACGGGUAGCCGGCCUGAGAGGGCGACCGGUCACACUGGGACUGAGACACGGCCCAGACUCCUACGGGAGGCAGCAGUGGGGAAUAUUGCACAAUGGGCGAAAGCCUGAUGCAGCGACGCCGCGUGAGGGAUGACGGCCUUCGGGUUGUAAACCUCUUUCAGUAGGGAAGAAGCGAGAGUGACGGUACCUGCAGAAGAAGCGCCGGCUAACUACGUGCCAGCAGCCGCGGUAAUACGUAGGGCGCAAGCGUUGUCCGGAAUUAUUGGGCGUAAAGAGCUUGUAGGUGGCUUGUCGCGUCUGCCGUGAAAACCCGAGGCUCAACCUCGGGCGUGCGGUGGGUACGGGCAGGCUAGAGUGUGGUAGGGGAGACUGGAACUCCUGGUGUAGCGGUGAAAUGCGCAGAUAUCAGGAAGAACACCGAUGGCGAAGGCAGGUCUCUGGGCCAUUACUGACACUGAGAAGCGAAAGCAUGGGUAGCGAACAGGAUUAGAUACCCUGGUAGUCCAUGCCGUAAACGUUGGGCACUAGGUGUGGGGGACAUUCCACGUUUUCCGCGCCGUAGCUAACGCAUUAAGUGCCCCGCCUGGGGAGUACGGCCGCAAG
rnacentral:rRNA from 1 species